ensembl:lincRNA Gm14936 predicted gene 14936
CUGUUUCUAAUUGGGUGAUUUCAGCCCUAAGUUUGACUAUUUCCUGCUGUCUACUCCUCUCAGGAGCUGUUACUGGAAAGCUACAUUAUAAUUGAUUACAUGAAGGCGACUAUAAUCUGCAUUAAAGAAAAAAAAGUUCAGAGCUUCCUUGAGAAAAAUAGAGAAAGAAGCUUUACAGUGCCGGGACUGAAAUUGUUCAACAAAGGAAUCUCCAUCCUAGGACAAAGGACAAUUCUAAUAUCCUGAAUAAAGCCUACCUUCCUCAAUCAUAUAGAAAACAUUUAUGUUCGCCAAGCUGGUGAGACCUCCACUAAAAGUUCAUCAGCAACCAAUAGCACAAUUCAUGCUGUAUAAUUGCUAGGAAUGCAUUCAUCCCUAGUGGAAACACAGAGGACAGAUUGGAGAUCAGUUGUAGUGCUGAAGUAAUGGAACAAAAAUAUUCCUGAAGAAUUGAAAAUCAGGUCAGAUCAAAUGAUGCUCCACAGGUUAUAUACUAAAAGGACUGCAGUUCUAUAGAGACCACAGAUCCAAAAUGGAAAACUACUAGAAUUAUAACUUGAAAUAUCUUAGCAGAUUGGUCUAGAGACAUUUAACAUUUUUUAGUAUAUGCCAAUUGUAUAUAAACAUGUGUUUCAUUAUUUUUUCAUAUAUGUGUGCAAUGUUUCUUCACCAUAUUUGUUAUCCUCUCUUGUCCUUUACCCACUCUUGAAGAUUUCUUCCUUCUUUCCACUUCCAUACUUUCUCAAAAAUCUUACUUUCGCACCUUUGUGGGGUGUGUGUGUGUGUCCCAGUAUGUUUCAUUAGGGCCGUUUACAGAAUUAUGAGUGAGGACUUGUUUAUCAAAGCAUGGUACCUUACCAGUGGCUACAACCACAACUACAAAUAUAAAAUUGCUAUCCCUCCCCCAUCAAUCACUAUAGGUAUAUAAAUCUUCAUAGAGGAGUGUAUCUCUGGGUGGCCCUCCAUCUUCCAUGAGAAGAUGAUGACAGGGCCAAUCUUGUACAAGUAUUAUCAGGUGAUUUCAGCUGAAAUGAGUUUAGGAGUACGGCAGUCACAUUAUGCCCAGAACUCAGACUCAAGUUUCCAUUCCUCUCCUUUCUCCAGCUUUUACAUUUACUCUACCAUGCUUUACAGGGUGUUCCUUGGAACUUGAAUGCGGUAAUUUAUAUGUCCCAUUUCUGUUUGAGCAUUGGUCACUUACUCUCAGCACUUUGAUCAGUUAUGGGAGCCCACAAUUACUGCUGGCCAGCUUCUCUGACUCAAGUGGACAGCAGCCCUAAUCUAUGAGCACAAAUGUAGGUGUCUCAAAGGAAAGUUUAUGGGCAUACCAUGUUAAUUUAGCAAAACAUCAAAAGGAGCUUGCCUUCUAGGUCUAAUGACUUCAUCAGUCACUGAGUUUUGACCAGGUUUACCAUAGCAGAUGUAAAUCCUUUCCUGAGUAAGGGGAAGCAAGUUACAUUUGUUUAUUGGAUUUUACUUUUAGGGUCUAUGUUUAAACAAAUAUUUUUGAAAAUAAAUUCUUACUUAAAAAUAAAUGAAAAUAAAAAGCAUACAAAGAAAUGUUGUAUACUCCUUAUCCUGAUAUGUCUGUUGGCAUUUCUUUGUUCUCUGUCACAUACAGGCACAGAAACAGACACUACUUUACUCAGACAAAUUAGUGAUGAGUUAUAUAAACUGUAGUCCUAAGAAUAUGACACAUGCAUUUACAAUAAUAUAUCUCUAACAUUCAGUUCCUCUCAUUUGACUCAUUGUGUUCUUUGUAGAAUACCACCCUCCAAUUGAGAGGUAGUCUAGACUUGCUGCCAUGUUUGUUGACAUAAUUCAUUAAAUUCUUUUAUGCUAAAGCAGUUCUACAGUAUCUUCUUGUCCCUUGAUCAAAGUCAUGAAUAAAUUAUUUAAUGUACUUUUUCUUUUUACCUUGGCAAUUAAUAUGCUUUUGCUGGGGAGUCACUUUGAGACUAGGUGAAUUUGAAAGGUUCUCAUUGUAAUUUACCCCAAGAGCAAGAUUCUUUUGGUUAUUAUUAAAUGAUCUGGUUUUGUUAUUAUAAUUGUAAACUGUAGGGAUUACAAUUAUGCCACUUUAUGCACACAUAUCAUCAUCCUAUUUUAAACAGGAAUCCUUCUUCCAUGUUCACUUAGACAUUUUCUACUACUGCCAGCAGGGGUUCAUGAUUUUUUUGUCCUAGGAUUUACUUAUUUUGAUGUUCCUAUUGUUGUAUAUUUUCUCAUGAAAUGUGUGUUUUCUUAAUAAUCAGCCAGUAAAAAUUUUAAAGAAUUGUAUUCAGAGUAAAUAAAAUAUUCCAUACUUACUUUGUGUCUGCCCUAUUCUGGUCUUAGAACAAGCCAUUUUUCCAAAUAUUCCUUAGAAAAUACAUUUUUCAAUUGUGCUUCUUGCUGUAGUUAUUGUUAUAUUUUAAGCAAGUUUGAGGUAUAAAAUUUGGUUGUAUUGUCAUUUUGUUUUCCUCCAUAAUUUGAUGUUUCAAUGAUAUUUGAAAAAGAAAUAUCUGCCUCCUCCCCACCAUUUGGAAAGAAAGCUACAUUUUUAUUUUGUUAUCAAAUCUGUCUUCUUACUGUUUUACAAAUACCUGUUUUGUUGCUAUUGUUAAUUUGUUAUGAGUUGU